GGGGAUAAGCUCCGUGCGUCGAGAGGGAAACAGCCCAGAUCGCCGGCUAAGGCCCCUAAGCGUGUGCUAAGUGGAAAAGGAUGUGCAGUCGCAAAGACAACCAGGAGGUUGGCUUAGAAGCAGCCACCCUUGAAAGAGUGCGUAAUAGCUCACUGGUCAAGUGAUUGUGCGCCGAUAAUGUAGCGGGGCUCAAGCACACCGCCGAAGCCGCGGCAGCCGCAAGGCUGGGUAGGGGAGCGUCCUGCAUCCGGUGAA
rnacentral:rRNA from 1 species